rnacentral:rRNA from 1 species
GAGUUUGAUCCUGGCUCAGGACGAACGCUGGCGGCGUGCUUAAUACAUGCAAGUCAACGAUCUUUAAAGUAGCAAUAUUUUAGAGAGAGUGGCGCACGGGUGAGUAACACGUAGGUAAUCUGCCUUUAGGACUGACACAACUCGUCGAAAGACGGGCUAAUAUCAGAUAAUGCAGCGGCUCCGCAUGGAGACAGUUGUUAAAGUUUCGGCGCCUAAAGAUGAGCCUGCGNNCCAUUNNNUNGNNNGUNGAGUAACAGCCUACCAAGGCAACNNUGGA